UUUAAAAAAUAAUAAAAAGAUUAGAAUUUAAAUAUUUUUAGUUAUAGUUUAGGGUAUAUGAUUAAUUUUUAAAAUUAGUUUUCAAAUUUGGAGUUUAGAAUAAGGUUUGAGUAAAGAGUUUCAAAGUUAAAGGUUUGGGGUAUUGAUUUAAGAAUUGAGGUUAAUUUCUAAAAAUAUUAAUUUUUGAGUUUAUAUUUAAGUUUGAAGUUAAAUUUGAGACUUGAUAUUAAAAUAUUAGCGUUUAAAUUUUUUGUUAGAAUUUAGGGGUUGUGUUUAAAAUUUUGGUUUUAGAGUUUAGGAUUUUUGGAGGCAAAUAAAAUGGAGUGAGAGGAAAAAUGAAACAAGGGUGAGAGGGAAAAUCAAUUAUUUUCCGCUUUAGUUUUGCAUAGCGUUUGCAUUUUCACAAACUAUAUCUAAAAGCAAGAGGUAUGUCAACCAUAGCAUAAUCGAAAAAAAUGUUAUCAUAUUCUGCUAUUAAUACUCACAUUUCCUGUAGUGCUCCUAACCUAGAACAAUGAAUAAAAGAAAGUGUAGCCAUCAAAAAUGGUUUAGAAAACACAUAAAUAGGGUUCUGAGUCGUCCAGAGGUAUUCUGGUAACUUGUGGUAACUUCUGGGCAUAAGUCGGCCAUGUAAUAGGCUCGGCCCGUCUUGUAGGAUCACCGUCGAACGACAGCAAGGCUGUGUCGUCGAUCAACAUUCUUUCAUCUCCUCGGCAGCUUCAUCUCGCGAGGCAGACAUACCUCUCUUCAGUAAAACGGUCAUAACUUCUACUAUAGGAUGCUGAUUGACCUCAAACCGGUGGAAUUGGAAAACUCACUCAAAGAUCUAUCUUUUGUAAAAAUGAUGGGCUCAAUUGCACCGUGGGUAGGUCUCUCCGCCCAUAGCUAAACAUCUGAUGCGUCAUCGCAGUUUUGCACCUCAAAAGGCUCCAAAAUCUUCAAAGUUUUCCAAAACGUACCUGAACCUGAAACACUCUAAAACAUACUCCAAACCCAUAUAAUAUACUCUAAAACAUUCAUAUACCAUAGCUAAAAAUGGGUAAAAUCCAUGGUAUAUCAUUAGAUUACAUUGGCAUUAUCAACAGCUCGCAUUCCUCUCUGAACAAUCUUUAACAGCAAUUAUGGACUAUCUGGUCUACUGUUUUGGAGAAAAUUUUGAGUGCUUUCUAAUGAGCGACUGCUAGAAAUCUAAUCGCCGCUAAGUACACCCUCUCGCAGCGGCCUGUGUAAAGACCGUGAGACCAGUCACUUGUGAAAUUCUUCUUCGUGACAUCUCAACCUCUUCGUUUUGUCUCAAGCACCUAGCAAAAAUAUAAAAUACACUAGAAAAAAAAAAAGCUAAGAUAAAAUGUGUACAAGAGUACCAUGGGAUUGCCUCCCAAGACAACUCGCUUUAAGUCACUUAGAUUGAAUUUCUUUUCGAUUUCAAGUAGGGGAAGUUCCUUCCUCUUCAAAUGUUGUUGUCAUUUAGAGAUUUUUAGCCUUUGGCCAUUCACUGUGAAUUCACCAUCACAAUUGUUCCAUAGCACCGUUGCUCCAUAUGUUCUAACUUUUUUUUUUUAUCUUAAAUGGACCGGACAAUCUUGAUUUGAGCUUCCUAGGAAUAGGAAGCAGCUUUAACCAAGAAUUAUACAACAACACUUGAUAUCCAAUAGUAUAUCAACUCCCAAGGCUUAUCCUUCGCUUGCCCUCAAGCAAAGCAUCGGAAAUAAUUUGUGAAAGAGGUUUUAAAACUGAAGAGACUCUUUUUUUCUUUAGAACUACUGCCAUCACCUCUACAGUGUUGCAAGCCACAUCAGAUCAGUUUCAACUUCAGAGGCACUCCCAUGUACUUAGUCUUAGCUUAGCAACCUGACCAUCCAGCCCACAUCUUACUAGAUACCGCCUGACAUACCCCUCAAUUGACCUCAUUUCUACAAUAAAUGUACAGGCUUUAUCUUGAGAAUAUCGAUCACUAGACACAUGGACUCUUACCCCCAACAAGUAUUUGAACACACAUGUAGUAUUUUCUGAUCCUUUUCCACUCUCUUCUAUUUUCUAUGAAUUUAUUAUUUUUUCUUUUCUCUUUUUUUUUCUAUUUUUUAUUUUAUAUUUUCUUUUUCAGCUCUGCAAAGUGUAGGUGAAUAAUGGGGUAAUAGAAAAUUUUCCUACCCCUCACUUUCAACAAUGUGUGAUCAUCCCAUCGAAUUAGAAUAGUAGAUUCAUAGGAAAUUUUUCAACCCCUCUACAUCUCACGGAAUCAUGUCAAUCCUUCCUUUGCUUUUCUUACUUUAUAGAUGCCAAAGAGAGGAGAGAGGAGAACCAGAAACACACAGAAUUUUACCUUCCAUACUUGCAUGAGCAAAUCUGAUCCAAUGUAUACCAAGCCCCAAAACAAUUGAUUGAUGUAGAUUAAGAUUGGAAGUUAGAUUUGGCUCCUUCAGACAUUCUCAGCAAGCGUGGAUGUUACUGGCAGGUUGAUCAAUUUUGGUGUUUCUAUUCAAUACACCCUACAAUCAGUAAAUCAAGGAAUGGUGCUUGAGAGUAGUUAGAGAGUUAGGAAAAUUGAAAAAGUUCAUCACCCCUUUUUUGACUCUAUAAAAUUAGUCGGCUAACACUCAAAACAAAAUACAAUGUCAGUACCCACAUCCCCCCUAGACAUAAACAAAAUUGUCUCCAGUGUUAUACAGUCUGAGAUUGGUGAAGGAAAUAAAUAAAAGCUGAAAAUUUAUCAAGGAAAUUCGAGUAUUACCUAUCGUCUGAUAGUAGUGUCGAUCAACACAGUGAUGUGGUGAUGUAGUGUCGACUGACACCGGGCGAUUUGUCGUUCGAUGCUCGUUUAGAACUAGUCUUCCUCAGAACUUUUUGUUUUUCCUUUUUUUUAUAUUUUUAAUAAAUAAAAAAGUCAAAAUGUCUAAUAAUAGGUUGCCUCUCACUCAAAGCUUUUUAGAGUCUUUAUUUUGAAGUUUUGAAGUUUUUGGGCUAGUUUCAAGGUAAAUGAGAACUUGUUUUUCAACAAGUCCCAACAUCUUCAUCACUCAUCUCGAACCAGAUGCCCACAAAUCUUUUAUGGUUUUUCCUCCUUUGGUUCUUUGUUCUUCUUGCUUCUUGAUAGUAGCACUAAUCUAAUUCACUCGCAGCUUUAGACUCUCAUGUCAGUUGCUACCCUAACUAAUCAUGUUGUUGAUUAUUUUACAUUAUUUGUCUUUUAGUGAAAAGGUAAUUUAGACACAUUAUUUUAAAAAUUUCCCACAAAUACAAUAUGUCUUAUAAUGUAACUGAAAAGACAAAAUAUGAUUUUUGGUAUAUUUUUUCAUAAGACAAUAUGUGCAUUUUUUUAAAACUGAUUAUAUAAUUUAUCGUCAAAUAAAUUUUAAAUUAAAGCUACACUAAGAAUCUAUGGAUUUUUUGACAUGUUAUUUUCAAAACAGUUUUCAGAUGUUAAUUUCAUGUUUUUUUUAAGAACUUUAAAUUUCAUUAAAGUUUGUUGAUUUAAGAUUUUGUUGACCUUAACUUUUGUUAAUUUAAAUACCAUUUUAAGUUUUGUUGAUUUUGAAUACCAUGACAAAUCAUACUUUUCAAACAUGAAAUCUUAAAAGUUGUUGACUUAUAAGAUUUAAAUGACUCCAUUUGAUUCUAUCAAUUUUCUUUUUAGUUAAAAAAUUAUUCUUAUAAGGGAAUAUACAUGUAUUAUGCUCAAACAAAUCUCAAAUUAUAAUUUUGUAUGGUAUCAGAAGUUUUUAAGUUUUACUAAGAUUUUAUUGAUUUUGAAAAGUUCAUCUAUAUAAACAACGAUCAUUCUUAGAUUAUUAGCUAUACAAAAAAUAAACUCAAAAGUAAAUUAUAUUGUAAAACCUUUUAUCAUAGGAUGAAGUCUUCAAAAUUGCACUUUGUUGUUCUUCUCAUCAUCAUUUCUUUCAUUCUUAAUAUUCAAUCUGCUCGUAAGUAUUCUUAUGUUUAUAUACAACAACAUGUUUUGUUUUCCUCAUAUAUGUAUAUAUAACUGUGUGUAUAUACCAAAAAUCUGUUUAUAGUUAUCAUUAUUUUAUAACAUAAUUACUAAGAUAUUAUGGCAAUCAUAUUAACCAGGAAUUAUCGAUGAUUCAUCAAGCGAUUGUGAAUUCAAAGGACCUUGUCAAAAGAAAACAGAUUGCUACGAGAGAUGUGGAGUAGGCAAACCAUCCUUCAAAAUUGCUUUGUGUGAACCUUAUGGAAGUUCACGUGUAUGUUGUUGUAUCUAAUUAUUUAUAGCCUUAUUUAAUAGAAGUUAUGUCUUUUUGUUUUAUCUGAAAGAAAAUAUAUAUAGCAAUAUGAUAUGCUUACACAGAACUACAUUUUUACUUACACUUUGGAUGUAUUUCAACAUAUAUCAAAUUACAUUUCUUCAAUAUAUAGAGGGUUAUAGAUAAAUCAAAUUAUGGAUGAUUAAUCAAGAGACUGAUAAUUAACUAUCAAAAAUAAUAGAUAAUCACAUAUUAAUAAUUUAUUUUAUUGGCGGGUGGGGUGAUUUAGAAUUUUUUUUAUCAUAUUUAGCAUAAAAUAUUAGACAUUUAUUAUAAAAUACUUAACUUUUGACUAGUCAAAUUUAUUUAUUUAUUUAAAUUUUUGUUCAAACAACAAUAUCAUAUCAGACGAAAACACAUUUUGCUAACGAUUUAAUUUAAAUCUAUGUAAAUAUCUAUUACAAUAAAUCUACCUUUUCUCCCAUCUCCUUUCGCCACCUCCGCAUUGACGGCUUCAAAAUUGGACACGUGGCAGGUCUAAGAAGUUUGCUGAACACAAUCGUUUUUGGUUUCUGUUUUCUACGAACCCAUUUAAUAAUUUGUAUAGAGGCCCAUAUUGGAAGCCUGUUAGAUGUUUGGAGCGAGAAGCUCGAUGACCAGACUUUCGUAACCCACGAUGGCCACUGUGCUUCCUCCACUUUCAGUUAUCUGAUUUAAUCAUGGCUGUAAUGAAUAAUUCUCUUCUGCUCAGCUUUCUCCACCUCCUCAAAUAAUCAUAUCUACUGCAUUUAUAAGGAGAUCGUUGCCCAGAUGGAAAGCUACUGUCUCUGAAACUCUUUCACCGAUGAAAUCUCCCAAAGCUCUUCCUUUCAAACAUGGCGACUUCCCAGAUCCACUUGUCUGAAUUGAAAAUCCGGACGCUGCAAACAAGCUGAAGAAAUGAGGCGAACUUAUUGGAGUUGAUAUGGUGUUAGUCAACGAGAUGGUGCUUAUUAACAAUCGGGUUCUCUAAUCUCUGUUUUCGAUUUAACGUUAAACUAAGUGGCUAUCCUAAAUUGGUUGACUUUGUUUCCUUUUAAUUUCAGUCGACUUUGAUUCAAGGUUCCAUCGCCGCAUAAAGGCUUAACACUUUCAAGAAUAACUUGAGGGAAGGAGGGAUGUACGAGCUUAAUGGCUUCAAAGUGGCUAGAAGCAACAUCCACUUCAAACUCGCCGACACACCGGUUUGAUUUGCAGGGGAAGAGUUGGUACCAAAAAAAAACUUGGUAUCCAAGAAUACAGGGAAGUCACGUAAAACAAUCAAAGAGCCUACCUAACCUCUUAAUAAGUCAUCACCCAACAGGAAGCGAAAAAGGAAGCCGAGACAUCAAUCGUUCUCUCCCAACGCCACCGGAGACAUCUCAGUGACGAUUCGAAGAGCGCUUACUUAUAAUCAGCCUACUGGAUCUGCGAGCCAUGUUAGUAUAACUGAAGACAAAUCAUCCAGAUGUGUGUUAGAUUCUAAUUUGAGGUUUAAUUUGUUGAAAUUAUGGUCAUAGGCUUGGUAACUUGGUCGGGAAGUAAUUAGGUAGCCAAAUCAAAAUAUAACUUAGUCUAUUUGGUUCUGUUUUCUCCAUAUAUCACUUGCAUCUAUAAUAUUUACUGGUCACUUGACGACGAAACAAUAGUUCAACAUCUAAGAAUAAAGUUGCAACAUUGCCAAUAA